rnacentral:lncRNA from 1 species
GUGACCAAUGAGAUAUGGAUUUAAACCUCAAGGGGGAAUCCUGGGCCUCCAGGGCCAAAUGGUUCAAAAGGAAAAGCUGGACCAAGAGGAGUGAAGGGAGAGAUUGGUGAUGUAGGAGAAAGAGGCCCACAGAGUCGACAAGGACCAAGAGGGCAACCUGGUGAACCUGGAUUCCCUGGCUAUCCUCGUGCACAAGGAGAAGAUGGUGACCCGGGCCAUCAAGGAGAAAAGGGGGCAAAGGGAAUAAGAGGGAAGAGGGUAAGAAUCAAAGAAACUUCCUAAGAUCUAUAGAAGCCCACAUCAUUACGGAAGUACAUUUCCACUGGGUUAGGACUUCUUAGCAGGAAGCCCAUUCCUGCUCAGUCAAUGCUCAUUCCACACCUUCCUUUGGCUAUCCCACUCCCCACUUAAUCCCUCUCUCAUUUAUCUCCUG